ensembl:lncRNA
AUAGCAUUAUAAUGUUAAGUUGGUAUUCCAUAGGAAACCUGUCCCAUUUGCAUUAGCAAUUCCUUCUUUAAAAAGAAAAUAAAUCCUUUCAGAUCACAGGGUUCGAUGUUGAGAACCUGGCAGUAGAUGUGGGCUUUUGGUUCAAAGCUAGCACCAAACGCAAGAACAUAUUGGAUGAAUUCUGUACGUUUUGUGACACAAGCUACAUGGAGACACUGCUGCAUGUGAGCACAAGAUGGAUUAGUUUGGAUAUGGUGGUCAGUCGGAUUCUACGUCUCUAUAAGGCACUCAAGAGUUAUUUUGGAAGCAUCCGUAAGUAUAAGCCUAGUCUUGAUUUUGAAGCCUAUUUGAUGUAUCCAUCUAAUGUAACAAGGUAUCAGUUUUUCGCUUGUCACAAGUUCACACAGUGUCAAGGAAUAUGAAAAUGUUUCAAAAUUAUAAUUUAUUUGUUUUGCUGUGCGUCAAUCGUUCCAGGACCCAAUGACGGAGAUCCAUCUCUUGUUCUACCAGUCGACACUGAUAACUUUCACACAUUUUAACCUGCUAUUCCAGCGGCAAGACCCUUGUGUCUAUCUACUUCAUGAACAAAUCAGGUUGUUCGUCAAGAAACUCCUGUCCAAAUUCCUGAAGCCAGGAGCUUUUAGAGGUGUCAAUGUGGACACAGUGGACCUCAGGGAUGAGGAGAGCCAAUUGCCAGGUAAAUAUUAGGAGUGACAAAAACAAUGGUUUUAUAUAAUCUUUGCAUUGUCUGCAGGUCUUCUGUUACUCUAAGCACUAAAUUAUCCAUACAUACCUUUUUAGAUUCUCAGCUUGGUGUGGGCUUCACAACGAGGACGUUAAACUGCCUUGUGGAAGCAGGUGAUGUCUCCAUGGACUCAGCUAAAAACUUCCAUCUCGCAGCCAGGAGCUUUUUUGUGAAGGCAGUCGAGUACGCCACAGCUAAGCUCCCUUUACAUGACCCUGUGCUGGAGCAUUCAAGGUUCGUGGACUUCAGACAAAAAAUGGAUACCACCUUGGAUGAUGUGCUCUACUUUGUUCAUAGGACCAGCUGAAUGAUGAGUUCCUAGAGUUUCAGAUGAUGGAGGAGGAAGAUAUACCUGCAUCCAUCUAGGGGGACGCGGUCAUCAGGACAAAUGAGGAUGGGGAGUACCACAGGAUGGCCCACCUAUGGGUAUAUCUGGGAAAUCUUAAGAAUCGGGCAAGUGGCACUUUUAAAUUCCCGAAAUUAUUCAAGGUGGCCCAGAUUGUGUUGAGCAUGCCUCACUCAAAUGCGGAUGCUGAGCGAACAUUUUCACUGAUUGGCCUAACCAAGACUGACACCAGGAACAGACUGUCCCUUGAAGGCACCCUGUCAUCAAUCAUGACUAUGAAAAUGAGCAGCCUUGAACCCUGCUACAGAUACGAACCUCCUGCAGAGGUUGUGAAGCAGGCCAAAACUGCCACUGUGGCAUACAACCUAAUAUCUAACUUCUAGCCUCUGCUGAGGAGUGUACACACACACACACACACACACACACACACACACACACACACACACACACACACACACACACACACACACACACACACACACACACACACACACACACACACAGUGGCGGUUUUAGGCACGGGCGAACCAGGCAGCCGCCCGGGGCGGCAUAUUUGUGGGGGGCGCCAAGUCACAUGGGGGGCGCCACGAGCAGUAAAAAAGAAAUCGUGCUGCGUAGCGGUUAUCAAGUACUACAUAACAUUGUGUUGGGAAUAGGUAUUUUGCGCCCCCUCUGGCUGCAGGCGCACACCUGCUCGUUGAGAAGGUGCCGUGCGCAGACGGAAUGAAACCCCCACUGAAGCCCCCCCCCCCCCAUCCGCUUGAAGAUAGUCUUGCACACACACACACACACACACACACACACACACACACACACACACACCCCCCCACAGCCAGCCAGCUCUGGGGAGCUGGGGUAACUAUUGUGCCCUUUUUUGUUUUUGAAAUUUCUAUCUUUAUUCGAGAUGCAUGUCUUUAUUUUGUAAUGG